GACGAACGCUAGCUACAUGCUUAACACAUGCAAGUCGAGGGGCAGCAUGGUCCUAUCUUGCUAAGCCCGAUGGCGACCGGCGUACGGGUGAGUAACACACACCUAACUUUCCUUCUACUCAUCUUCAGCCAUCUGAAAGGAAGAUUAAUUCAAAACGGCUUCUUGAUUUUGUAUGUUCACAUUUUUCAAGGUAUUCCGGUUGACGCGGGGGAUGCGUUCCAUUAGUUAGUUGGCGGGGUAACGGCCGACCUAGCCUUCGAUGGAUAGGGGUUCUGAGAGGAAGGACCCUCACAUUGGAACUGAGACACGGUCCAAACGCCUACGGGAGGCAGCAGUGAGGAAUAAUGGUACAUGGGCGCAGGCCUGAAACAGCCAAGUAGCGUGAAGGAUGGCUGUCCUAUGGGUGGUAGACUUCUUUUAUGAAGGAAUAAAGGCGGGUAUGUAUACCCGUUUGCAUGUACUUGAUGAAUAAGGAUCGGCUAACUACGUG
rnacentral:rRNA from 1 species